rfam:Gossypium arboreum cultivar AKA8401 contig_725_1, whole genome shotgun sequence.
AGUUAAAAAUUUUAUCUUUUUUUAUUGUUAAAAACUGGUAUGACUAACAAAAUAACCGAAGAAUCACGUAUACCUUAUGCUAGUACAUAAACUAGUUUUUAACAGUAAAAAUAGAUAAAAUUUUUAAUA